AUUGAACGCUGGCGGCAUGCUUUACACAUGCAAGUCGAACGGUAACAGGGAGCUUGCUCCGCUGACGAGUGGCGAACGGGUGAGUAAUGCGUCGGAACGUGCCGAGUAGUGGGGGAUAACGCAGAGAAAGUUGUGCUAAUACCGCAUACGUACUGAGGUAGAAAGUGGGGGACCUUCGGGCCUCACGCUAUUCGUGCGGUCGACGUCUGAUUAGCUAGUAGGUGGGGUAAAGGCUCACCUAGGGGACGAUCAGGAGCGGGUCUGAGAGGAUGAUCCGCCACACUGGGACUGAGGCACGGCCCAGACUCCUACGGGAGGCAGCAGUGGGGAAUUUUGGACAAUGGGCGCAAGCCUGAUCCAGCCAUGCCGCGUGUCUGAAGAAGGCCUUCGGGUUGUAAAGGACUUUUGUCCGGGAGCAAAUACCCAGUGCUAAUAACGCUGGGGGCUGAGAGUACCGGAAGAAUAAGCACCGGCUAACUACGUGCCAGCCGCCGCAGUAAAAC
rnacentral:rRNA from 1 species